UACGUAGGGUGCGAGCGUUGUCCGGAAUUAUUGGGCGUAAAGAGCUCGUAGGCGGCUUGUCGCGUCGGAUGUGAAAGCCCGGGGCUUAACUCCGGGUCUGCAUUCGAUACGGGCAGGCUAGAGUUCGGUAGGGGAGAUCGGAAUUCCUGGUGUAGCGGUGAAAUGCGCAGAUAUCAGGAGGAACACCGGUGGCGAAGGCGGAUCUCUGGGCCGAUACUGACGCUGAGGAGCGAAAGCGUGGGGAGCAAACGGG
rnacentral:rRNA from 1 species